GACGAACGCUGGCGGCGUGCUUAACACAUGCGAGUCGAACGGUAAGGCCCCUUCGGGGGUACACGGGUGGCGAACGGGUGAGUAACAAGUGCGCAACCUGCCCUUGACUCUGGAAUAAAUGUUUGAAACAACUGCUAAUACUGGAUAUUCAUCGUCUCCUUCCUGGGGGGGGGUGGAAAACCUCGGCGGUCGGGGAUGGGCUCGCGGCCUAUCAGCUUGUUGGUGAGGUAAUGGCCCACCAAGGCUUCGACGGGUAGCCGGCCUGAGAGGGCGACCGGCCACACUGGGACUGAGAUACGGCCCAGACUCCUACGGGAGGCAGCAGUGGGGAAUAUUGCACAAUGGGCGCAAGCCUGAUGCAGCAACGCCGCGUGCGGGAUGACGGCCUUCGGGUUGUAAACCGCUUUCAGUAGGGACGAAGGGUGACUGACGGUACCUACAGAAGAAGGACCGGCUAACUACGUG
rnacentral:rRNA from 1 species